rnacentral:rRNA from 1 species
UACAGAGGUCUCAACCGUUGUUCGGAUUCAUUGGGCGUAAAGGGUGCGUAGGCGGUCGCGCAAGUCGGAUGUGAAAUCUCAGGGCUCAACCCUGAAACUGCAUUCGAUACUGCGUGGCUAGAGUGCUGGAGAGGAGACUGGAAUUUACGGGUGUAGCAGUGAAAUGCGUAGAUAUCGUAAGGAAGACCAGUGGCGAAGGCGAGUCUCUGGACAGCAACUGACGCUGAGGCACGAAGGCCAGGGGAGCAAACGGG